GGGGAGAAGGCCGAGGCGCACAUUUUCGGGGACAACAUGAUAAGGAUCCUCAGUGGGGCCUGACACAGAGUAGCUACUCAAUGAAUAUUUGCUGACUGAAGCACAGGAGAGGGAGGACAGAAGCAGAGAGAAGGAGAAACUCUUUAAGACUGGGAAAGAAUGGUGGUCUUUCAUUUGUUCUUCACGUAGCAGAGGCCCAUGCUCGGCUCCCUUGAAGCACCCUGGGGAAGAACUUGGAGAGGAAUGACUGUGUGGUGCCCCUGGAGAGACUGGACUUGAGACUCUGGGCCUUUCAGCCCUGGCAAAGAGUUCUGUGCAGGCCUGGCAGGAGUCAGCAGAGCUGUCUGAACGUAAGCGAGUAUGAGAGCUCAGACAAUGAGCACAUAGAUGGU